UACGUAGGUGGCAAGCGUUGUCCGGAAUUAUUGGGCGUAAAGCGCGCGCAGGUGGUUUCUUAAGUCUGAUGUGAAAGCCCACGGCUCAACCGUGGAGGGUCAUUGGAAACUGGGGAACUUGAGUGCAGGAGAGAAGAGUGGAAUUCCACGUGUAGCGGUGAAAUGCGUAGAGAUAUGGAGGAACACCAGUGGCGAAGGCGACUUUCUGGUCUAUAACUGACACUGAGGCGCGAAAGCGUGGGGAGCAAACAGG
rnacentral:rRNA from 1 species